rnacentral:lncRNA from 1 species
UUAAGGUUUCGAUUUUGGGUAUCGAUUAGGGUUUCGAUUUUGGGUUUUUAUUAGGGUUUCGAUUUUGGGUUCGGGGUUGCUUUUGUUUCGAGUAGGGUUUUGAUUUUGGGUUUUGAUUUGGGUUUCAAGUUAGCGUUUUGAUUUAGGAUUUGGAAUUGCUUUAGGUUUCAAUUUGUUAUGCGGUUUCAAUUAGGGUUUCGAGUUUGUGUUUCGAUUUUUCAUUCAAGUUAUUGUUAUGGUUUUGUUUGGGGUUACGGUUUGGUUUCAGUUUUUUUAGGGUUAAUGGUUUCGAUAUAGGGGUUCAAUCUUAACCGAUCUU